AAUCCAAGUAAGAUGGCUGCGGAAAAGGGAGAGUGACUGGGAAACCACUGAAGGAGAUGUGUAUCUCUUGCCCAAGACUGCGUGGCAUGUCUCAUGAAGAAGUGGUUGUUUACGUCGUUGCUGUCAGCGCAUCGGCUGCGGAUAGCGAGCCUGCCUACGACCGUUUAUCUCCGCGUUAAACGUCCGACCGCUGGGCUGAUCUGGUGGAUUUAUCAAGCAGCCAGCUACUAGCCGCAUUAGCGUGAAGCUAACUAGAAGCCGUGGUUUGGGGAAUUUACACCCUCCACCCCUCUUCAGGACAGGACCCUCGACACUUGAGAACCCGUGGGCAUUCAAGGUACAUGUCCAGAUCCUAGUUUGAACGGUCCCAGGCUACCUCAAAUCCCAAGAUCCACUGAGGCCAUGCCUCUCCCUUUCCCUCCAUCAGGGCCAACAUGAAGAAAUAGUCCACCCUGCUGCUGACCAGCUACAUUUCAGAGUAGAGUGGCUCCGUCCGGCCGCCUCUAUGGAGUGGUGUCGCCUUCAGACUGGAUGACAGGAUCUGCAGAGUUGAGCUGACCCCCC